rnacentral:lncRNA from 1 species
GUGCUAAAAGCAUUUUUAAUUAAGAUUUGAUUGUCAUAAUCGUGAGCUGCCCCUGUGUAAACAUCUUAACUGCUUAUAAGCCACAUUGCUAUGGACAGCUGAUGCAGAAGUGGGCUCAACAGUGUAGCCUGGAACAAGUGGGGUGUGCGACAGCGCAAGCAGCACCCCAAACACCUCAUGGUCACUUUGGCGGCCUCACCCCCCAGUCUGCCUUCCUCACUGAGCAAACACCUUCACGUCAUGGACUAACAGACUGGUUUGGGUUGGAAGGGACCUUAAAGCUCAUCCAGUUCCAACCCCUGCCACGGGCAGGGACAGAUUCCACUAGAGCAGGUUGCUCCAAGCCCCUGUGUCCAACCUGGCCUUGAACACUGCCAGGGAUGGGGCAGCCACAGCUUCUCUGGGCACCCUGUGCCAGCGCCUCAGCACCCUCACAGGGAAGAGCUUCCUUAUAUCCAACCUACAUAUCUUAUUUUCUGAAAACCCAGUGCCUGUCACUACCUAUCACACGCUCUUGACCUUUCAGAUGUUACCUGCGCUGGGGUUCACCGCUCGGCUGCGGUGGUUGUGCCGCCACAGCACUGCCUUGGCCGGUGUCUUCAGAGUCAUCGCCGGGCUCCGGCCACCGCUGGAGCUGCCUAAACCUCCCGUUCAGUGCUUGUGCAGGUGCUCCUUACACCUAAAUCCAUCACUAUCAACUGUCCUGAGCUGCGGCUGCUGACGGGAUCAACCUGUUGUUGCUGCAGCCAUUGGAGACGAGCCGCUGCUCCAGCGCAGCUCCUACUUCAGGGCCGGCUGUUUCCUGAGGGGGCUCGGGCGGGCGCUCGGACACCACAGCCCGCACCGGCCCCCGGCGCCAUCACGGGUGGUUUCCAGGGGGACGCUGCGCUCCCCACCGCGGGCAGGGGCUCCGGGCCGCCCCCAGCUGCCAUCCCUGGCGCCGGGCUCGGUUCCGGCCCCGGUUCCGUCCCUCCCGCCGCAGCGGGGCCGAGCCCGCGCCCUCCCUCAGGGGCCAGGGUGGGGGGGCGCAACCGUUGGCCCGCGCGAGGCUCCCCCGCCCAUUGUUGUGUCUCCGGGGUCGACCUCAGAGCUGCCUGAAAGACCCCGCGGCGGCCUCCGCGUCCCCGCACCCCGUCCCGGCUCCUCCGCGCCGCUGCUCGCGGCGCAGCUCCGCUUCCUCACCGCCAGCCGCGCUCUGCGCUGCAUU